rnacentral:lncRNA from 1 species
UUUAGGGUCAUUUUCAUGUAUUAAGUCUUAUUUAAAUGUUAGUUAGCACAAAUAUACAAGCUACAAAAAAAAUGAUGCAGGAAUUAAAAUUGGGCCCUCAGUUGGCCCAUUAAUGAAGCUGCCCCAGUUUUGGGCUUGAAUUAUGGACCAGUCCAUUUUUCUGAAGUGUAUAUCAGCUGUAUAUCCCAGCUCUAUCCCCUGCGUUUUCUGUAUAAUUGUCGUAUACGCGACUGAAAAUCAGUCAUAUAUGCCCCCUUUAUCCCCCAGCUGAAUAAUCAGCUUCCUUUUCCUCAUAUCUUGCCAAAUAUCUGCUGUAUACAUGCGUAUACAGACUUGUUUCUUGUUUCUUAGUCCACUUUUUGGGCCUUGCAGGAUGCUUGGACUCGAACUCGAAGAUAUGCAAGAGGGGACUCCAAGUGAGGCAUUCAUGCAAAAUCAGAAAAAAAGAAAAGUGAAGAAUAAGGAGCAAUUCCAUCACUGUCACGAAUUCUGAUACAGUUAAUAACAAUAAUUAUUUGUUAGACUUAUCUUAAGAGUUUUAAGAGGAGGUGAGCAUCAACUACAGCUAUUAUAUGAAUAAAAUCACAUCUCAGCCAUAUGGAAGGAUGAAGAAAAGAUUAAAAAAAAAAAUGCAGAAAAGAAUGGGAAUUCCAUGCAUAAUCCGGGAGAAGUAUUAAAUUCCAUUUGAAUAUAUUCAAGGAGAAGAUUAACCGAGUGUUCCACAAUCAUUACAAAAGCUAAAGAUCACUUUUACUAUAAACAUGAAUUAUGGACUUGCCAGCUUUAGGCUAAAAUCAACAACAAGAACAAAACUUAAUACGAACUAGACAAGCACUUCAUCUCCUCCUUGGAGUAAGCCAAGAAAAUCAUUGAAAAAUCCUUAGCUUUUAGAAAAGUAAGUAAAUCACAAUAUUAAUCGAUCAACAAAGCUAUUUCCUCGGUUAAAUACAUCGAGCAAAAUAUAACGACGAGUCUACCAACUAAUUUCAAAUACUCUUAAAUCUCAACCCGCAGGACAGGUUUCAUCAUUUAACCUCGGACAGCCAAAUAGAAUCAAGACAUUUCGCACAACAUCAAAACUUCAACACUGAGCUAAUUGAGCAGGGAAACUUCAAUUUCUUCAUAACUUAACGAAUCAUAACUAAUUCGAAAAAAAAUAAAAAAAAAUCAAAAGAAACUUCAUAUAACCACAUGAAUAAGUCCUGCAGUUUAUGAGGGCGAAAUCAUUGGUUUGAUAGAUUUUUUUUUUCAUGUUCUGCGAGGGAGCAACUUCAUAUCCACACAAAUAGUUCCCAAAAUUAACAGCUUCUCACAUAAUGCAAUUAACAUCGUUCCCAAGCUCAAACAGAAACAUAUCCACUGUUACACUAACUAUGAAACUCAAACUGUAGACUACGAUCGGAAUCGAAGAAAAAAAAAAUCAUAAACAAGCCUAGAUUAUAGCAAUAAAAUCUAUGAAUCAAUUCAACCAUAUCGUUUCCGUCACAACACAAAUCUAUGAUUCUCAAAGAUUUUUAUAGCAAGUAAUCCCAUCAUUAUUACGACUACGAAUAAUACAAGAAGAUAGUGUUUACCUUUUUUCGAGCAGCGAACCGAACGACGAGUCGACGACGACUGUCGACUUCCGCCACCGAAAUUUCAAUUUGACUUUGUCGGAAUACAACCUUCGUCGGCACUGAUUUUUGAACUUUUGAGUUACGUAAUGUUAGAGGCACGCACCUCCAAAACCUCGAAAGAAUUAGGGCUUCAGAUUUUGAAAACACGGACUUGAAUUUUGAAACUCUUUUUUUGAGAAUUUGAAGUCCAUAGUGAGACAAAACAAAAGAGACGUUGGGCUAAUUAUUUGCCAAAAAUGGGCGAGCAUGUUCUGAAAAAAAAGAGAAAGUUGGAUGAAUUUUGCUGUUGUUGGGGCGUUGGUCGCGGUUGACGCAGCUAUUGCGUGCUGUUGUUAAUGUUGUUUUGCUGUUAUAGCCGUUGAAAUUGUUGCUGUCGCUGUUAAACGCUGUUAUGCGUUGGUGAGGGACGUUGAGACAGGUGAUGUUGUUUGCUGUGUUGAUAACGCUGUUGUUAAUGGGUAAAGGAGGAGAAAAAGGGGGAUGGGCCGGGUUGUUGAGGAGCUGGACCGAGUUAUGUAAUGGGCUGGUUGGUAUUGG